UCAGGAACUUGUGCACAAUUCUCUGAUUGGUUGUUGGUGAGGGCAGGGGGCAGGUUCACUGGAUCAAUCCUUAGGCGCCAGUAGGUCUGGGGGCUGUGUGCUCAGAGUUAGGCAGUUAAUUUCUUCCUUUUGGUGGUGGUUUUAGCCUUUGUAAAACAACUCAGGAAACGUGUAUCAGAUCCUAUUAACUAGGUACUUCAGAGAGGAGCGAAUGCAGAGGAUGUGGGGGAAGGGCCCGGGGAGGCUCCAUAGGGUCCUGCUUGGUUACAGAGCGAGUCUGAGGUUGGUUUCUUCUCAGGGCUUUGCUGUGUUUUCCAAAUUUUCCAACUCAGAAACUGGGAUGUUCAGGGAAAAAAAAUGAUGCUCUAAAAAUCUAUAUCCACCCUUCCGCCCUCCCUCCAUUCCUUCCUUCCGGAUUCAGCCCAGAUUGAAGGAGACUAGAGAGGUGUGAAGCUUGGUUAUAACACCUGAUCCUGAACUGGAUGCACCUGCCCCAAAGAGCAUCAUUUGAGCAAUCAUCACGACUUGAAUAAAGUCCCUGGAUGAGAGGCGUAUGGGAGUUUCGGUUACAAUUAUGCCAUUUUUAUGUAAGUUGAAAACUCCAAGACGUGAUGGAAGCAUCUUAUCAUCAUCUUGGUGAGAUAAUAAGGCUCUUCUGUUGCUUGAAUUCCAAAGCAUCGUCAUAUGCCUCUCAGAACUUAAAAAAGAGUCUAAUAGUGGGUCUUUCUGGAAUAUCUUAUAGAUGGAAGUCCAUGCCCCUUCUGCCAUAAAAACUAUUGAUCAAAGUCAGGAAAUGAACAUUGAUGUGGUACUAUUAUCUAAUCCAUGGAUCAAUUUUCCCAGUAAUAGCUUUUACAUAAAAUUGUUUUUAAAUUAUAUUUUCUCAUUCAGGAUCCAGUCCAGGAUUAUAUAUUGCAUUUGGUGGUCAUGUCUCUUCAGUCUCCUUUCCUCUAGAAUGUCCCUCAGCCUUUAUUUGCUUUUCAUGACCUUGACAUUUUUGCAGAGUGCAAGCCAGUUAUUGUGUAGACUGUUCCUUGAUUUGGGUCUGCCAGACGUUUGCUCUUUAUUAGUUUCAGGUAAGGCAUCUUUGGCAUUACCUGAACGAGCCCUGAUCUUGUGGUUUUCUUUGCACAUCAGAUGAGGAGGCUCUUGGUGUGGUUUGGUCUCAUUCUGAUCAAUUUUGAUCAUUCAGUUCAGGUGGUGCCUGACAGUUUUCUCCACCGGUAAGUGGCUACUCCUUCCUUGGUAAUCAACCAGGGAUCUGUGGAGAGUUAUUUUGAGACAAGGUGACAAUCCCGUUUCUCAUCACACUUCCACUCUUUAAUUUUAGCUUCCAUUGGUGAUUCUCCACUGAAACAAGGAUUACGAUGCUUGCCGAAUCUUACAGCGUUCUUGAGAGCGUUAAAAGCAAGUAUGUAUCAAAGGACCUUGACCUAUGAGUUGGAUUUCAAGAGAAAUCAUGUUAAUGUGUCAAUUAUGUUUCAAUAAAGCGGGAGGGGGGGCAGGGAAAAUAUCCCCAGGGAGCAGUCUGAGAUGUGAGCAAAGAUUUGGGUACAAAGCUUUUUCAUGACAUUAUUCAUAAUAGCAUAACUUGGAAAGUCAAGCACACUACAGUAAAUUGAUGUCAAGAAAUAUGAGGCCGUCCUUUAAAGCAACUUUCUGAAGAGAUGUUUUACCAUCAAAUGCUAAGUAAUAAAAGAUAAGGUAUCAAACGGCAUUCGACUACAUGCCCUUUGGUAUCCUGACUUGGCUCCUAGAAGGGGAAAAAGAUGUUGGUGGGAAAACUGGUGAAAUUCAAACAAGCGUCGAGUUAACAGCAAAGUACCAAUAAUGAAUGAUUCGUUUUAAUAAAUACAUCACGGUAUCGUUGCCGGAGGUUGGUCUCUGUCUGCCGGUGGGUGCUGAAUUGAAACACAGAGAAUAGGGUUUUGGGUAAAGCAGACAAAGGAGGCUCGCAGCAGGCUCAUGCCUCAAAGACUGUGCCCCCGCACCCAGCCCCCAUUGGAAAGAAUUGUGAGGCGUUUUGUAAUUAAAAGGAGAAAAACAGGUUUUCGGAUAGGAAUCAGAUUGGCGCAAACAAGCAGUCUUCUUUCUUUGGGGGGAUCUUAGGCUUCAAAGCUGGAGUCAGGAGAUCUCGGUAUGAGCCUCAUGGUGAUCUUCUGGGUUCUUGCCUAGAAUAACAGGGCAUAUGGACUAGAGAUUAGACCGAACUAGGAAAGUUCCUGAAAAAACCUCAUGUGCUAAUAAUCUUUAACCCACAGGCACUUAUGUUCAAAGUGCCUCAUACUUAAUUUACAGGUGAUUAUGUUUAGGGUGCCGUUAAACCAGGGAGAAGGACAAGGAAGGGCUCUAAGCUGUUCAGUGUUAAAGUGUUCAUUUCUAAAAGAAGCAUAAGGAGUCUAAUUUUGCUCUUAGGGGUAUAAGAUGCUUGUGUCAUUAUGUGGGUCCCUUGAGAAGGAACCAGGAUCCUGCCCCGAGGCUCUCCUGUUGUUUCUGGAGGGUUCCUCCCUGGUCUCUGCAUCCCCUCCCCUCCCUCAUCAGGCAACUGUCUGUACCUGCCCCUUGGAACUCAGAGAAGGUCAUGGGGCCGGAAUGAGGCCCAUUUCCUGAGAACAUGCAAUGGGAGACACAGAAAGACUUUUGUGCCCAGUAGCCCCAAAGGGCCCUGCUUGGUUACAGUAUGUAGGAUAUUAAUAUUAGGGGGAACUGGGUCUAGGCUAUGCCGGAACUUGCUAUACUCUUAGUAACUUUCCUAUACGUCUGAAAUUAUUCCUAACUAAUAACUCCAUUUAAAAAAUUGACUUAGCAGUGAUGGAUCUGUUUAUUAUCUGAUUUGUGGUGGUGGUUUCAUGAGCCUAUACACCUGUCAAAACAUUUUAAAUUAUACACAUUAAAUAUGAGCAGUUUAUUGUGUGUCAGUUAUAUCUUGAUCAAGCUUCUUUAAAAAAAAAAACUAUUUGGUAAACUCUCAAUUAUGUUAACAGACAGGCAUAGGAAAAAUACUGGAUGGAAAUCCAUCAGAAUGACCAUUGUCGGUGUCUACAGCUAAUAAGAUGAUCAUCUUUUAGAAAUAAUUUUCUCUAGUUUCCAAAUUCCUUGUAAUGGACAUGCAAGUGAAUAAGCAGAGGGAACUCCCAUUUUCCAGUGGGGUGGUUUGUAAUAGGAAAGCUUCAUCUCCUUGUUUGGGAAGCAUCGGCUCCUGGUAAGAGCGGCCGCCCUUCUCAGUUUUUCCUCAGUAAGGCGAUGCAAGUGAUUACAACCUGAAGAAGGAAGCCAAUGUCUCCCACAUCACCUGGUAACAAAGAGCCUGAAAACAGGCCUGGCAUGAUGGGGAGGCCGGAGCAGUGCUCCUCAAACAUCCCAGGGUGCGAACCUGACCCAGGUGAUGGAGAUCAAGGCGCUGCCCGAGGCCUGAGGCCCCACCAGCUGUCGCCCAUAUUCUCCCGCCCGGGUUAAAGCCCACGAGCCCCGGCCCUUAGCAAGCGAGGCUUUUCCAGAUCUCUGGUGGACCAGCAGGACGUCCCAGGAAGCCAGAGAGCUUCUGCAGCCCCUGGGUUUCUACGUGCUUCCCGUUGCGAACACGUGUUGUCCUCUCCAGCGAAUCUUUGGAAAGUCACCUCGAUGGGGAGGCUCUCCAGGGAGGAACAAUGCAAGAACUCAAGGUAUGCCAGUGAGGGCCUGGACUGUGAGCCUCGUGGGAAGAGUCACAGCAGGAAUGGAAAAGGAUGCUGAGACGGGUCCAUCAAGAAGGAGUGUAAGUCUCGAAAUACUCAUAAAUAUGGACAGCCGAGGUGACAGGCUCCAGGAAGCCGGGACAAGGGCUGCCCCUCCUUGCAGCCGGAACUCGGGUCUGCAAAGGGUAGAUUUAUUCUCGAACUGCGCUGUCCAGGAUGGUAGCCACCAGCUGCAUGGGGCUUUCAGCCUGUGAAAUGUGUCUGGUGGGACUGAGAAACUGAGGUUUAAUUUUAUAGAGAACACAUUCGAAAAACUGAUAUUCAGUGACUGGAGAAUUGUUAACUAUGUUUGGAGCAACUUGGUUACGUAAAUCUUUUUCAACUGAGAAUGUUAUGGAAUUUAUAAAUAUUUCCAGUAAAAAUUUAGCACCUGAAUUAAGAUGCUGGAAACGUAAAAGAGAUACUAUCAAAGAAAUUAGUACCUUUCCAAAAAAUAAUGUAACUGUCUUAUUAAUUUUAUAGCAAGUUAGGUAUGUUGGGUCAAAUAAAUAUAUUAAAAUUUUCCACCUGUUUUAUAAUAUGAAUCCUGUAAAGUAUUAAUUGAUGCAUAUGGUUUGCACAUGUUUUUGGACAGCACUGCUGUAGAGGGUUCAUUUCACUUUAUUUUUGGCAAUGUUAAAUAUUACUAGUAUUUCUAACUUUGAACAAUGUGGUAGCCCCCCCAGAAAUAGUAAUUUUCAAUUUUUCUUUCCUGAGGUGAGAUGUUUUCUUUGGUUUAUUAGCUUGUGAUUCUGGAACCCGUCUAUGUUCAUUUCGCUAUUAGAGAAUUUGUUUUUCAAAUGGGUUCCUGGGUGAGUUAUCUGUGUUAAAUGUCGUAUCACGUUCGAUAUUUGUUGUCUGCCUUUGAAUUCUUGCUUAUGUCCUUUGAUGUAAAGGAGUUUAAAGUUUUUAUAUAGUCUAACGUUUCUUUUAUGUUCAAGAACCAUAUUGAGGUUUUUAUGGUUUGAUUUUUGCUAUUAGAUAUGGGCUUUUUUAAUGUGUGAAAUAAGGAACUGAUGAGAAAUUCUGGAGGAAAAAUGGCUAUUUUUAAAUGAGUUUGAAUUACUCAGUGAGUAUGUGUGUACUUCAUUCUGGUGUGUUGGGGUUUGAGGGGAGGGCAGUGUCAUAUUUUGUCUUUAUAGUUCUGACAGCUCUCAUAGCACUUUGGUUUGCGUUACCUCGUGUAAGACUCAAAAUAACCCAGGCAGGUAGAUGGGGCACGUUAUCACACGUAAGAAAUCAUAUGCUUACCCAAAGGGGGCCAAGUUUAGGACGGAUGGGGUUGGAGCUUCAAUAUGGGCAUUCUGACUUUUGAAGCUGGACACGUGCUGUGUCACUGGGGACCAGAAUACUACUUUCUUAGGUCGUUAAGCGGAUCCUCCAGGAACUCGAAUGAAUAGAACACUUUACUCCUGAAAUGGGUUCCUCGAGGUAAGUGGACCCCAUCUCGUAGGUCUGAGCCUGACUCCUCGCACAUCCAUGGCCUAUUAGGAUUCAAGUAGAUGUCUCUUAAGAUCCUUUUCAAGAUUUUAAACACAUGGACCAUGUGAGUUAUUCUCAAUUCUUUCAAAGAACUACAUUCUUCACAACCUGGAUGUUUUAAAAGGGUGGCAUAUAGGACCAAAGUCAUCGUGGACCCCUAGCCGUGAUGCCAGCCUUCCCCUCCUGCCUUCCUCUGGUGUGGUCUCGGUCCUUGGUUUAGAGUGUGGCUCUCUGGACCUUUUCCUAUAUGUUAAUAUCCGUACCCUUAGAAUCUAUUGUUCUCAUUGAGUGUCAGCAGUAUAUAUGCAUGAUGUGUGUAUCAUUCUUUAAUUUGCUUCUCUCACCACUUAAAUCUCAGAGCAGUAUCAGUAUGCUUAGAUUUCUAACUGCUGUGCAAUGCAUUAUGGUACAGUUACAUCAGAGUCUAUCCAAUUCACCCAGUGGUGGACAUUUGGGUGGUCUUCCUGUUUUGCUAUUAAACGCCAUGCUAUGGACACACUUGUUGAGGCUUUCUUGUUGGCAUGGGCAAAUGUUACCUAGGGGGAGGUGGUGGCAGCUCCAUUCUAGGAUAUGCACUUAUUUUACUGACAAAAUAGUCUCAAAUAGUCAUAGCGAGUUGCCAUCAGCGACAUAUAAAAGUAAUGAUCAUUUAAGUUUAGUGAUUUAAUAGAUGGAAAUGGUAUUUCGUUGUUUACAUUUGUACUUCUCUGAUUGCUAAUAAGGUUGAAGGUCUUUUCAUAUGACUGCUUUCUGCAAAUUUGUCCUUCAUAACCACUGCUCAAAAUUUUCCUUUUAACCAGUAUAAAGGGAUUUUUUUCCUCUAAAGUUAUGUAUUUUUCUCUAGGUAAUGAUUACUGUUACAUGGUACAGAUGUCUUCAAUGUUGCUUGCCUUUGAAGUUUGUUUAUAUUUUGUUAUGCAGAACCUCAACAUUUUAAUACAGUAAAAUUUAUCACUAUUUUAUGGCUUUUAACUUUUUUCUUUUUAGGGCUACACCUGUGGCAUAUGAAUGUUCCCCCAGGCUAACAUUGCUCUAUUCAUGGCAGCUUUAUAUUGUUUUAAUAAAUGGCUGAGUCACCACCAA